rnacentral:pre_miRNA from 1 species
CUUAAGUUCAUUUUUCAGAUUUUAGAUACAAUGACUCUUUGUUUUAUUUAAUUUUUUUUGCCAUUACUAUUUUUAUUGUCUAGAUAAUAAAACAUGAAUAGUACUUUAUGCGUGAUUAUUUUUUUAAAAUUUUGUAUAAAUUUUUUAAAUAAGACGAAUGGUCAAACUUUGGACACAAAAAUCGAAAAAUGAUGUUAUU